rnacentral:lncRNA from 1 species
AUGGAACCAAACUAUUUAGCAGCCACAUUUCUUUUAAUGUUUCUCGUUUAUAGGUUACACAUUUGUUGUUAUUAUUAUUGAUUUAAUAAUACUGUGUCAAGAUAAAGUUGUCAAAAUCACGGCACCCAAACUUCACAUUAUAAAAUUUUAAUCACAACCUGUUUUAUCACAAUCGCUUUGCAGCAACGGAAAUUAUUCGUAGUAAUUAUUAAGUUGGUGCAAAAUUAUUUGUGGUUUUUGCCAUCACUUUUAAUGGCAAACGCCGCAAAUAAUUUUGCACCAACCUAAAUAUUAUAACUAAGGAAACGAAUAGAAUGGUGUGCAUCAGAGGUACCUCCGCCAGUGCUUACCCCGUUUGUUAUAGAGGGACGGGUUGUCCCUGCUGCUUUUUUAUGGAGCGCUAUAUCAAAAGGGCUGAGUAAAAUGAAGACAUUCCCCAGAGGACUGACUCACUAAGCAAUCAUAUGGGCAGUUUCUGGGAGGAAAGGAAGAAAAAAGCCAUACUUCACAACUCUUAGAAGCUGUUGCAAAGCAGACCACAUUCCUAAACUGAAGGAAGCAAGAAUUGCCUCAAUGGAACCACUGGGAGUGGAGGACACAGCGAAACACACAACGCCAGGAGUAAAUUGGAUUCUGGAGUAAAACCUGAGCAGUGAAGCUGCAGAGACAAGUGAGAGAG